rnacentral:tRNA from 1 species
GAGGGUAUAGCUCAAGUGGCAGAGCACAUGCUUAGCAUGCAUGAGGUCCUGGUUCAAUCCCCAGUACCCGCC